rnacentral:miRNA from 1 species
AUGUGAUGGUUAGAAUCUGUGUGGCUGGGCUGGAGAGAUGGCUCAGCCGUUAAAGGCUAGGCUCACAACCAAAAAUAUA